rnacentral:rRNA from 1 species
GCUGGCGGCGUGCUUAACACAUGCAAGUCGAACGAGUAAAGGCCCCUUCGGGGGACGAGUAGAGUGGCGCACGGGUGAGUAACGCGUAGGUAAUCUACCCUUAUACCUGGGAUAACAUUGGGAAACUGGUGCUAAUACCGGAUACAUUUUACUGCUGCGGGGCUGUAGAGGAAAGGUGACCUCUUGGUCAAAGUUACCGUAUAGGGAUGAGCCUGCGUACCAUUAGCUAGUAGGUGGGGUAACGGCCCACCUAGGCGACGAUGGUUAGCGGGUCUGAGAGGAUGAUCCGCCACACUGGAACUGGAACACGGACCAGACUCCUACGGGAGGCAGCAGUGAGGAAUAUUGCGCAAUGGGGGAAACCCUGACGCAGCGACGCCGCGUGAGUGAGGAAGGCCUUCGGGUCGUAAAGCUCUGUCAGAAGGGAAGAAGUGUUAUACGGUUAAUACCCGUAUAAUUUGACGGUACCUUCAGAGGAAGCACCGGCUAACUCCGUGCCAGCAGCCGCGGUAAUACGGAGGGUGCGAGCGUUGUUCGGAAUUACUGGGCGUAAAGGGCGCGUAGGCGGCUUUAUAAGUCAGAUGUGAAAGCCCACGGCUUAACUGUGGAAGUGCAUU